rnacentral:tmRNA from 1 species
GUACUGGUUUCGACGGGGAUGUUGAAGUUUGGGAAGCCAUCCGCAGACUCCGUGACUGCGUUAUCAACAUGGAACCUAAAUAUAAAUGCAGACAAUAGAAGUUUAGCAUUCGCAGCGUAAGCGCUGCUGUCGGCCCGGGAGUGCCUGCCAUCCCGGCAAACCGGCAUCAUGAAAGGCGGGGACCUCUCAUGCCGAAGCUUUGAGGCAUGGGAAAAUUUAUGAAGCUACUAAAGGCAUGAGCCUGCUGUCAGGCAUUUGCCGGAGGGAAUGAUCAAUAUGACAGCUGUGAUGGGAGAUGCCUGGAUGGAUAUGUUUUCGGACGCGGGUUCGAUUCCCGCCUGGUCCACU